GGCGGCAUCGUCUAGAGGCCGAGGAUUUCCCGCUUUCAUCGGGAAGACCGGGGUUCGAAUCCCCGUGCCGCCCCCA
rnacentral:tRNA from 1 species